rnacentral:rRNA from 1 species
UACGAAGGGGGGCUAGCGUUGCUCGGAAUCACUGGGCGUAAAGGGUGCGUAGGCGGGUCUUUUAAGUCAGGGGGUGAAAUCCUGGAGCUCAACUCCAGAACUGCCUUUGAUACUGAAGAUCUUGAGUUCGGGAGAGGUGAGUGGAACUGCGAGUGUAGAGGUGAAAUUCGUAGAUAUUCGCAAGAACACCAGUGGCGAAGGCGGCUCACUGGCCCGAUACUGACGCUGAGGCACGAAAGCGUGGGGAGCAAACAGG